UAACACGUGGGGAACCUGCCCCAUAGUCUGGGAUACCACUUGGAAACAGGUGCUAAUACCGGAUAAGAAAGCGGAUCGCAUGAUCAGCUUUUAAAAGGCGGCGUAAGCUGUCGCUAUGGGAUGGCCCCGCGGUGCAUUAGCUAGUUGGUAAGGUAAAGGCUUACCAAGGCGAUGAUGCAUAGCCGAGUUGAGAGACUGAUCGGCCACAUUGGGACUGAGACACGGCCCAAACUCCUACGGGAGGCAGCAGUU
rnacentral:rRNA from 1 species